rnacentral:misc_RNA from 1 species
AUUAGAACAGUUUCUGUACUAUAUUGGUAUGAGAAGCUCCCAGUAG